AUACGUAGGGGGCGAGCGUUGUCCGGAAUGAUUGGGCGUAAAGGGCGCGUAGGCGGCCCGGUAAGUCUGGAGUGAAAGUCCUGUUUUUAAGAUGGGAAUUGCUUUGGAUACUGUCGGGCUUGAGUGCAGGAGAGGUAAGUGGAAUUCCCAGUGUAGCGGUGAAAUGCGUAGAGAUUGGGAGGAACACCAGUGGCGAAGGCGACUUACUGGACUGUAACUGACGCUGAGGCGCGAAAGUGUGGGGAGCAAACAGGAUUAGAUACCCUGGUAGUCCACACUGUAAGCGAUGAAUGCUAGGUGUAGGGGGUAUCGACCCCUUCUGUGCCGCAGUCAACACAAUAAGCAUUCCGCCUGGGGAGUACGGCCGCAAGGUUGAAACUCAAAUGAAUUGACGGGG
rnacentral:rRNA from 1 species